AUCCCUUCUCCUGGUGCUUUCUGUAGGAAAGCUUGGCCAGCGUAUCCAAGCACAACCUGCCUAGCCACUGGGUGCAAUUUCUGGGAGACCCAGAGAAAGCUCUGCCUUCAUUACCAGAAACAGAGCAACAGCAAUAUGGGGCUCAAGCCCAGCACAGACUUCAACACUGAGGGGAGAAGGCAUCAACUUUUCCAUGUUGAAGGAACUCAACGAAACUCCCUGGCAAGGAGAGGAUUUCCCACCUGUGAUCUCAUUGAAAAAAAUCUGAAAAUUCCCUUUUGUUAUGUCUAUCAUGUGCAAUAAUGGCGGAGGCAGAAAAGAGAGUUGCUGUAAGGUCUGCUUUUUCUUGUCUGUGGUGAAAGUGGAUCUGUGUUGUAGUUUAAGUUUACCCUCCUGAAGGGCUUCAAAUGGAGGACCUCCCUCCAAACUGCUGGCUAGCAUGGCAGUCUGGAUUGAUCUUAGGCACAGAAGAGUAUGAAAAAACACUUAAAUUCUUCAUUGCUGAUCAAUUUUUAUCAGUAACAGAAAUACAGACAGCCCAAGGACAGCAAAUGGCACUUC